rnacentral:rRNA from 1 species
UGGGGAAUCUUGGACAAUGGGGGCAACCCUGAUCCAGCCAUGCCGCGUGAGUGAUGAAGGCCUUAGGGUCGUAAAGCUCUUCGCCUGUGAAGAUAAUGACGGUAGCAGGUAAAGAAACCCCGGCUAACUCCGUGCCAGCAGCCGCGGUAAUACGGAGGGGGUUAGCGUUGUUCGGAAUUACUGGGCGUAAAGCGCACGUAGGCGGACCAGAAAGUUGGGGGUGAAAUCCCGGGGGCUCAACCCCGGAACUGCCUCCAAAACUAUUGGUCUAGAGUUCGAGAGAGGUGAGUGGAAUUCCAAGUGUAGAGGUGAAAUUCGUAGAUAUUUGGAGGAACACCAGUGGCGAAGGCGGCUCACUGGCUCGAUACUGACGCUGAGGUGCGAAAGUGUGGGGAGCAAACAGGAUUAGAUACCCUGGUAGUCCACACCGUAAAACGAUGAAUGCCAGUCGUCGGGUAGCAUGCUAUUCGGUGACACACCUAACGGAUUAAGCAUUCCGCCUGGGGAGUACGGUCGCAAGAUUAAAA